UACAGAGGGUGCGAGCGUUAAUCGGAAUUACUGGGCGUAAAGCGCACGUAGGUGGCGACGUAAGUCGGGUGUGAAAGCCCCGGGCUCAACCUGGGAAUUGCAUUCGAGACUGCAUUGCUGGAGUACGGAAGAGGAGGGCGGAAUUCCCGGUGUAGCGGUGAAAUGCGUAGAUAUCGGGAGGAACAUCAGUGGCGAAGGCGGCCCUGUGGUCCAGUACUGACACUCAAGUGCGAAAGCGUGGGGAGAAAGCAGG
rnacentral:rRNA from 1 species